GUUCGCUUUGUCGAGAAGAAAUAGAGAGACAGAACAUCAUCUCGAUCCCUUUUCCUUUCCUCUCCCAAAACACACGCCCCUCUCCUCCCUCUCCCACAGCUAGGGUUGCCGCUGCCGCCCUCCCCAUGCUCGCGGCCUCUCCAUCUCGCACCAGGAGCUCCCGCGCCGCCACGUCCCCUCGCCAUGCAGGCUUCGCCGCAGAAGAGAGCUAGCGCGCCCGCGCCCGCGCCGCCGGGUAGCAGCCAUGCCCAGAGGAGGACGUCCAUGGAGCCAGCAUCCCCGUCGUCGACCUUGCACACACGGAAGGUCUCUGCUACUGGCCGAGGUCGACCAGGUCGACAACGCGCUCGCCGGCCAGCAGCUCAUCCUGGAGCCUACGUACGGUCACUUGCUACCCCCGCCCCCUCCCUAUUGAUCUUGACAUGCCCAUGAGGAGCUAUGUAGUUACCCCAAGGGUAAAGUUUCUGUCUUGCUUCACGGGCCAUGGCUCCUUCUUCCCAAACCCCACUUUGUCUCCCCUUUGACUUGGCUAUUCCUGAUCUCGGUGGAUGACAUGUCUCAAAUUUCCAUUGGACAAGGCUACUAACAUAAAGGAGCAAACUGGAAAUUCACCUGCACAUUUUAGGUAAUUAUACCAUGUUUUUAAACCCUUCGUGUGCGUAUGGUAAGCAUGAACUUGUCCCUGCCCUGCAAGUCAUGAUAAGAGUAUGACCUUAAAUUCGCCAGAAUGAGUUCUUAUUUUGAUUAUCUAUAAAGUCUUGUUUUGAUUAUCUUUCACUUUACUCUAAGAAAACAAAUCUGGGAAGCUAAAGCUGAAGAAGUUGCAGUUUCCAUCCUGAAAAUAGGCUGCACUAUUCCUAAGUUUUAUGGCUAAUGUAGGUGUAUGGUGCAAUCUAAGUUGGAGUACAACUUGUAUGGUCAUCUAUAUCCCUCCUGUUGCUAAUAUGCAGAAAGGCACUAUAUCUUAAUUUUUUUUGCUACAAAUGAACCUCAUGUUUUCCCCUUAUAUUCUAUUAGUCAUGGUGUUUGCUAUUGUUAUUUGGAGUAUAGAUUGAAAUGCUUUAGAUUUUGUGCCUUAUGAAAGAACACAAUUUAUGAUAUGAAAUCAAACUUUCCUAUUUCUAAAAACUUGAAGUGUCCGUUGGAUGCUAAUAAUUGUGUUUAUAAAUAAAUUCUGUUGUUGCCUAUUAUACAUGCACGUCGAUUUGAACAAUGUAAAAGUUCGCCGCUGCUGGCCGAGGUCGUGUUGGAUGCCCAUUUGUGGUCCUUUUUUCCCUUGUUCUUGUUGUACACACUAUAGAUCAUUUUCAUGGGUUUCUGGUAUGAUUGCUUCAGUGAUCAUUUUUGCAGAAGCACAUGCCGAUGGUGCACUUGCCUUUGGAAUUAAAGAUCAGCUUACACUGACCAGAGAUCAUAUAAAAAUACUUGACUCUAUAGUAGUAUGAAGGGGUGAGCUAAUUCUGUUGUCACUAUGCUUCACACUUUUCUGUCAUAGUUUGCUUCUUAAAAUUUUUGCUACAAAUUUCAUGGCUAACAAAAUAUGUAAAAGACAGAUACAGAGAAGGGGGUCAGGGCAGUGGAUUCCCAUAAUGAUGCAAGAAAAAAAAUGUCUCUGGGUCCAACAUAUACCCUUUACAUCUAAUUGUUUCUCACUAGGAUGGCCAAUGCGGGAUGAUGGUGACUUCUUCAAAUCUGUGCAAGCUAUCUCCUCUUCAGCAUCACUGUAUUUUUGAAAAUGUUAGAUCUGAAUUUAGAGUGCACUUCUGCAAAAAACAGUUUGUCCUGAUUACUAUUUAUGAUUUUAUUUCUGUAGGCACUGAGAAUGAUUGAAUACAGCUAAUCAUUUUAGAGGUUUGUUGUAGGGUGCUCUACGAGGUACUUUGUUAAGAUAUGCUCUUUCUGUGGCUGCCAUUUUAGCCAUUGAGGAUUUAACUUACCAGGUUAUAUCAUCAUUAAACAUACUUUCUUUUGGAGCCUUCUUUGUUCAUGCUUUGUAGUUUUUUUACAGUAUUUGUAAAUUCCUGAGGUAACUGAGGAAACACACAUUUAGUUGUGUGUUUGAGAAAAAAUAUUCAUGAGCUUAAGUCUUCAGUGUUAGUGAAAGUUGAAACUAUACACUUGCUAUUUCUGUAGCGUCAUCAGGGGGCAGCUUAUUUUAUCAACAUAUGCCAGCCUGCAUAUUUAUUUUGUAUGCAAAUCUAUUCAACCCAAAUGCUUAAUGGUCUUGACUGUACUCUAAAUAUCGUGGGAGAUAUCAUUUUGAGAUUUAACUAGCCUACUUUCUAUUGGUUUUCAGUAUGAAUAUGUCCUUCCUCUAAAUCUGUGGGAAAGGUUCACCAGAAGUGCCAGGUAGAUGUAGCACUGACACUACAUUCCUAAAUAUAAGUCUCAAAAGAAUAUUAGUACACCGGUCUUUAUGAUGCGAUGAACGUUUUCCUAAUUGAACCGAUGCAGCGAAUAUUAGCACACCGGUCUUUUUUAACAAUACACCUGACAUUAACGACCCAAAUGCAUGUUCGAUUUUACUGCCAUCCGAUAUCUGUGCAUGGUAAUAUCAAAACAGAAAAAUAUGGAAGGGCAUGUUUUUUUGGUACAAUGUGAAGUGGAUUCAUGAAUGGGUAACUGGUACCUUCAUUUGAAUAAACUUCGUCCAAGAAUUUUGCUGCCAUGCAAUGUUCUUCAGUUAUGCGAGUGAUGAUCUAACGUUGUGCAAGUACACAGUUUCAUAUGUUUGCUUAGUUAAUCCAAACACACCAUGCCCAUGAUCAUAUGAAUAAACUGAAGGACAUGCAUGAUAUCACCGAGAGUGAAUAAAGUGAUGUGCCCUGAUAAAAUAUGAAAUUUUUUCAAGUGUAAUUACAUUGAUUAGAUGAUGCUGGUUUUCGAAAUUUCAAACAAUACAUCACCACCUCUGUUUAGAAACACUACAAAUAGCAACCUACCUCUGAAUCUCAUAUGGUUCUCUGAGAUUUGUAUGUCGGCUUACCCAUUAUAAUGCCCUGUAGGUGUCCAAAACACCAUUACACAGGUCAUUCUGCUUUUGUAAUAAGGUAUUAGCUUGCAUACGUGCAAUUUUUAGCUAGCAUUAUUCUUAGGAGGAUGGAGGCACUAUUUCCCCUCCCUCUUCGUCACACACCUAUCAGUCGUCGGCGUCGCCACUGACCGCCGUGACCUGGUCUACUGCGGAAUGCGUCGCUAAAAAGAUUGAGAAACCUCUUUCCAACAUACUUCUAUUUGUGAUGCUUUGUUCGGGAGUGCUAUCAUAAUUUCAUUGAUGUGCUAUUGUGCUUAUAAGUACUGAUGAUGGAUUCUAUUUCUAUGACAAAUAUCCAUUUCAUAUUUUUGCAGCAUUGUUAAGUGUUUUUGUUUGCCCUGAUUUACAGUGGGUGUUAUCCUCGAAAGAGAUCAACUUCCCAUAUCUAGUGGCACUAACUUUGUUGCAUAUGGUGUUCUCAUCUGUAGUAUGCUUUGCAGCUACAAAGAUUUUCAAGAUACUUAAUAGCAUCAGAUUUUUACAUGGUUGCCAUGGAUAUCUCUAAUCUGUGUAAUAAUUAAGACGUCAUACUUUUGGAAUUCCAAUUACUUUGUUGACAUUCAAGAAAUCCAUAUCUUACUAUUUUUUUAUGUGAGCUUAUCAUGUGCUCUUAGUAUCUUACAAAAUUUUGAUGUACUUCACUUUCCUGAUACUAUACUGCCAUGGGUCAUUUCGCUAAUGGAGGUGUGUGGUGCAAUCUAAGUUGGAGUACACCUUGUAUGCUCAUAUAUCCCUCAUGUUGCUAAUCUACAGGAAGACAUUCUAUCUUAUAUUUUUGUUGCCUAAAGAAACAAAUGAACCUCAUGUUUUUCCUUGAUAGUCUAUUAGUCAUGCCGUUGGCUAUUGUUAUUUGGAGUGUAGAUUGAAAUGCUUCAGAUUUUGUGCCUCAUGUAAUAACACAAUUAUGUUAUGAAAUCAAACUAUCCUAUUUCUAAUAAGAUUAAGUCUAUCUAUUGGCUGCUAAUGAUUGUGUUCACAAAUAAAUUAUAUUGUUGUUUAUUAAGUGUUUCUGCCAGAUGUGUUCCGCAUGCUCAUUUGUUUUGCUAAUAUGAUGUUAUGGUGGCGUUCAUUUGUCCGCUGUACCAUUGAGCUAUGUUGCUGCAUGUUAUGGUGGCGUUCCAUUGUCUGAAUUUGGAUCGUGGUGCAGGUCUCGGCAGCACCCAAUGGCAGGCUGAAUGAUGUGGUGGCAUCUCCAAACCCUCAGGUGUCGUCCGCAGGGCAGUGGGCAACAAUAGGGCAGCAGGAGUACAAGAAUGCCAACAUGUAUGCUGGCGCUGACCCCUACGUAGUAUUACUACAGAGGCUGGGGGAUUAUUCAGUCUAUGUGGGCGUUGACGGAGCAGAGUCAUUUAACCCUGGAAAUGUGCUAGCAAGGGUAUGAUCGAGCAUGAUGGACAUGAUGGAUGGCAGGAAAUAGAACUAUAGAAAGGGAGAUCUCGUGAAGUGUUUUGGCGAAUGGCGAUGCAAUGCUUGUGCUCCUGGUAGCAGGCCAAUGUGGUUGGAUGAGCUCAGCACAUCAAAUGGUGCAAUCGAGUUGUAUGCCAAAAAAUGAUUGUCUUCGGGAUGCCAAGUUGUCUCUAGAGGAGGGUGGAUCCCUUAACUGUGAGAUAAUUUCAAGCCGCAAGAUAAUGGCACAGACCCAAGCAUGUUGUGCUUCAAGAUGAGGAGCCAGGCCUGACGACAAACACAUGAAGUGGUGGUGCGAUGGAAGAAUACGGCUUGGACAAUUCCAGCGAGAUGUGGCUCGCGUGGAUGUCGGCGAUGCAGCAAUCAGAAGAUCCUUUGGUUUGACUGCUCCCAUGUCCUCCAAUCCUUCUGUUUUCCUAGAAUUUUUUUCUCUUUCUUCCAUGAGUAGGGAUUUAAUCUUUUGAAGUUUGUACAAGGGGUUUGCUGACCACCUGAUUGCCAUUCCUCUUCUCCUUGCCUAUCUUUUGGAGCAUGUUAGGCUUUGAUUUCAAUUUAAUGUUGUGCUCUAUCAUCCACCUUGUAAGACUGUCACAUACUAUAUGAUAAUAUGGACCUAUUAACUUGA